GGGAUCUGAGUAGAGAAGAUUACAGAGGUAGAUAAGAUAACAGAGGAGAACUGCCCAGCACGCCUCCCGCUCUUUAUGCAGGCACACUCAACCAGAACAGUGUCGCCGACUUUGCCCGUCAGCGAGAGUUAUACACAGCUCAGCAACAGACCAACCUGCACAUCAGGCAAGAUCUCCCAAAAGCAUGAAUAAGAAAAGAGUACUAUAUCGUUUUUAUGAUCUUUAUAAAGUUCUUCAUAAUAUCCAGGUUGCCUACUUCUGGAAAAAGUACUGAGCAGACUCACUAACCAGGUCAUUUAGUGAUGUCCAUUUUGUGUUCACAGUAGCAGUUGCAAACAUAAAUACACCAGGAAUGGCAAUACAUGCCCUGCCUAUAAUCUCAGUACAUGGGAGGCAGAUGCAGAAAGACAAGGAACUGAAGCCUGGGCUGUAUAAUCGAAUUCCAGGCCGAUCUGAGCUAUAGAGUGACACCAUAGUGGUAAAUAUUAUCAAGGGCCAAGGAGGUGGUUUAGUGUGUAAAGUGCUUGCAGCAAACUUGUCAUGGCCUGAGCUCGAUUCACAAGAACCAUUAAGAGGCAGAUGCAGUGGAAGGCAGGGUGGAAGAGGCGGGUAGACAGGUGCAACUGGAGGACUCACAGUCAGCAGGCCUCUAAACCCAAGUAUUAUUUUAUAGAUGAUUUAAAACACUAUAUGCAUGACUAAUGAUCUGGUCACGGUCAUCAUAUGUAGAUCGACAUCAUUUUUUCCUAAAACAGCACUGAAAAAGGUAAAGGGAAAACCAGGCUCUGUCUUUUAGAGCCCUCAUGUGGAUGUGAAGGACUACAUUUGCAGAGCAACACAGCAGGAGUCUGGGCGUGAAGCUGGGUACCAAGAUUCUGCAAACAAAGCUUCCACAGGGCAAGCACCUCACUGGGGAACAUGACACUAGAAGUCACAGGUAACUGGACACAGAUGACAAGUGCCAUCAUCCCAGUCUUCCCUUUUCUGCUGGUGUGUGUGUGUGUGUGUGUGUGUAUUACAGUUUGGGUGUUUGCUGGUUAUAAAAGACAGAUUGUACAUUAGUUUCCAUAUAGUUGAAGCAUUGCUACUCAUCAGGCAUGGUACUUGGUACCUGCAACCCCAGUGCUUGAGAAGCUGAGAGAAGACUGCUGUGGCUUUUAGGUUAGCUUCCCAGGGCUGGGAUUACAGAUGUGGCCUCCCACUCUCAGUUCCGCCUCUUUCUUUUCCUUUUUAAGAAUUCACUUCGUAUGCUGAGCAACAACAAAAGACAUGGCAAUCUGAGAAGACUAAUCUGUGCUUUGAUAGGAGCAUCUAGAACACAGGUCCCUACCAUACAUAGCCCAGUAGAGACAACUGAGAAUACUCAAUGAUGUAUCUCAAGACACGAUGGCAGGGGGAUCUGUGAAGAAACUGAAGAGCUCUGUGGGCCAUAGCAGUGAACUCAGUACACAUGGACAUAGUCAGCAUGACAAGACUCAAACCACAAAAACUAUUCCAUUCCUUUGGAAUAGUUACUAACUACCAAGAACCAGCUGACAGUGAGCAAUCCCUGGAACAGCAUUUGGAACACACCAAGCUCAGGGACAGGACCAACUGAACGGGGACACCUGUGAAUGCCAGUCCUCCUGGAUACAACAGACAACUCUACAGCACAGAACAGCAUGACUUUUAGCCAAGGGUUGGGAAAACCUUUAUUCUUAAAAUACAUACCAGUUCACUUAUUUGAUCGAAAAAGUAGAUAUUCCAGCCAUCAACAAGUAUUUCUGGUUUCUUUUCACCUUUGUAUAUCUGAAAUUAAUUUUAAAAGUAUUAUUAUAAAAUGAAAAAUUAAAAUGCUGAUACCAAAAUGCCCAGGAAAAGUUACAAGAUUUCACUACAGAACAAGAGCACGCUGGCAGAAGCAGAGGCUCAGACCCAGCCCACCGCCUCCUGUGGGAGCCCACCGCCUCCUGUGGGAGCCCACCUCUUGAAGCACAGGGAUGACAGGUGGAGACCUUUGCUGGAGGAAGUAUAGCACCAUAAGAGUGUAAGCGUAGGAUGACAAGCUGCCUCUGGACGCAUCUCCGAUGUCACACAUCUAGAGGGAGAGAACACUCUGAAGGGUGUUUCUACUUAGCUUGCAGUCACCCCAUCACCAUCACCAUUGAAGAACUAAUAUGAAAAUCACAUCUUAAAAAAUGAAAAUGUGUCAACAAAAGCAACCAACCCAACCUGAAUCAAACUGAAUUCAACAAAGAAGUAGACUGUUAUUUACCGCAGGAGCAUCAAGAAAAGUUAACACACUAAGGUCAGGCAGUGCUGGUGCAUGCCUUUAAUACCAGCACUGGGGAGGCAGAGGCAGGAGGGUCUCUGAGUUUGAGGCCAGCCAGGUCUACACAGCAAUUUCCAGGUAAACACAAGCAGUGUACCCACCUUUGUGAACACUUUCAUGGUGUAGCACAGGUAUUUCACUCUGGGGUCAAUGGCCGAGUAUGCAAACAAGAGCCUUGUGUUAUGAAGAGCCUAUGAAAAGGGAAAACAUGCUGUGAGGCUCUUGCUGAUAGGUAAAUGCUGUGACCUGGAAAGGCUCAUCCUGUAGUACAGUAUGCAGUAAGGCAUACUGCAGUAGAGAUUGCCUUUUUCUUUCUGAGAUAAGCUGUGUUAAUCUAAGAGAUGACACAUAGGUAUAACUUCUGAUUUCAUGAAUAAAUCUUUGGUCUGAACAGUGGUGUGGUGACAUAGGUCUGCCAUCCUGGCACUUUGGAGAUGGAGGCAGAAGGAUGAUAAGUUUAAGGUCAGCAUGAGAGGUCCUGUCUCAAAAACCAAUACAGUGAAACCAAAUGGAUUAAGAUAAGAAAACACACAAUAAAAUAAAAUAAGAAGUUUUCUUUGAGUUCAUGUAAGACUCUCUGUGGCAUCAUUUGUGUGAGAAGCUCCCAGGUCCCAUCGGGUCUCUUCUUUUGGUGUGAGGCCAAGAAGGGACCCAGCACACAUACAAAAUUACAGGCAGGUUCAGGCCACGCAGAUAAAGCUGACUUUAUCUGAAGUGAAUCUUCACAAGUGCAUGAGCUCACACACGCUCACACACACACACACACACACACACACGUGCACACACACUCUCAUUUACAUAUAUAUACACACAUACACACUCUCACAUGCAUGCACACACAUACACUCUCACACACAUUCUCACAUGCAUACACACACUCUCAUAUACACACACACUCUCAUAUACACAAACACACAUACAUACUCUCACAUACACACAUUCUAACAUACAUUCUCAUGCAUAUACACAUUCUCACAUACACACAUACUUACAUACACACACACUUUCUGUCACACACACAUUCUCACAUGUACGCAUGCGCACACACACAUGCACACACUCUCACACUUACACACACACACACACACACACACACACUUUCUCUCAUGUACAUACAUACACAUUCUCACACCUAAACCACCGAGCUUUAUAUUUAUUUACCAACUUACUGACUUGAUAUGCACUGUGAUGGAAUGCUAAGCACUCUUAGCCCAUGUGGAUGUGAAGAGCCACUGAAUUCUCCACAGUCCCAGUCUCAGAACACUCUGGGCACACACUAACCACUCAGAUGAUUCCCAAAGAGUAACGAAAACCAGAGCAAAGAGCUGUUCAGCUGUGUGGGGCUAAAACUGAGCAUCCAAAAAGACAGCACUAAGACAGAUGAAACAAGGCCUUGAAUCCUUAGAUACUUUUUUGUUGUUUGAGACAGGGUUUCUCUGUGUAAUAGCCCUGGCUGUUCUAGACUCAUUUUGUAGACCAGGAAAGCCUCCAACUCACAGACAUCCACCUGCCUCUGCCUUGCCUCCCAAGAGCUGGGAUCAAAGGCCUGCACCACCAUGUGUGGCUCAUUUACUUGUGUUUACAGAGACAUUCAUUCAUUCCUGUUCAUGUCCUUAAGAAACAGUCUAGCAGUAUGUGCUUGUAACCUUAGCACUGGCUGGAAGGGAGGAGCCAGGAAGAGCGGUGGCUCAAGGUCACCAUGAACUGCACAGCACGUCCACCACUAACCUUGCAGUAUGAAACCGUGUCUCAAACCCCACUCUCACUCACCCCCGCCCCCCAAAAAAGACUGGAUGGGAGAAAGAAAGGAAGGAUUGAAGGAAGCAAGCAAACAAGAAAAAAAGGGGAAAAAAAAGAUCCAAAGAACCAAAACAGGAGAUUCCAGACAUGGCAAGUGAGGGGCAGAUGGCCAGGCUACUCAUCAAGAAAGACAGGCUGGCCGAGGCCUCCAAAUCUUACCAGUGUGUUAUACAAGCUGAUGUCCACCUCCAGACCACUUCUUAGAUGGAAGAACUUCACGAUGGGCACCUUGGCUGUUGUGAUAGGAAGGAUAUUCCUCAACCCUGUAAGGGAAGAAAGAUGAGUGAUUAAACACAACUUGGGAGGGGUGAUUCUCAUGCUAAUGCGCCAUGAGAAACAAGAUCUAACUUCAGCUGUCUCAUUGUAUCCAUUACAACUAACCGAACAAUUGUUACUAAGUAGGAGGACACCUGGCAAAGUAGGCAUCUGCUAUAUACAUGGAUGUUUGAAUGACAAGAACAGACUGGUUAAGGAGAACUCGCAAGUGCAUGUGCAAGUGGUGUGCAGAGGUCCGUUCCCACACAGGAGCUCUGCAGUUUGCACACCCGAGCUCUCCUACCCAGUCCAUCUGACUGACAGUCCAUGGAGCAUCAUCUCAAUGUCUGACACAGCAGUCACCACAGAGCUAGAAGCAAUGGACUGAAGGAGAAGGAAGGAACUGACUUUGCAGGUGAGGAGACUGCUUGAGCUACACUUUGAAAAGAAAAAUGCUGAAACAGUGGGGGUGGAGGCUAUUUACCAGACAAGGAAAAUGGAACAAAAAGGCUUGAGGGCCCUUCCAGGACACUAUGUAGGCUGGAGAAUGGACUUGGGGGGACCAGGAAAGAAACAGAGGAAUUAUCUUUGAGGAGAAAGAAGCCAGUGAGGGCAUAAGUACUAGAGAAUCAAGGCACAAUAGUAGGCCAGAAACACAGGGACAGAGGCAGGGUGACCACUCCUGAUGAACUGUCAUGGUGGCCUGAGGACGCAGAGAUGGAGGAUCACAUAUGUGAAGAGAAGACAGUGGUCUCGACUUUUAACUUCACCUUGCAUGAGGAGAACAAGAGACCUCAGGUGUCACUCACAUACAUGCAAGCAGUAAGCUAUGGAGCCGGGCUGAAUCCAGGCAGCUCCAACCUCACUGUGUGCCCUGCGACUAGUGGCCGUCUGCUUAUUCUGAUGACUCCAUAGAUGACAGUGCUUAAGUCUAGAUGAGAUUUAGAGAAGAACGGGCAGAGGCAGCAGAAGGCAAAUGUAAAAUAAAGCAGCAAGCCCAAGUUCACACACAUGGCAUGGACAAGUGGGAACUCUGGAAUCCAGAGCCCCCAUGAACAUUGCACUCUGCUUUCCCUUCAGGGAGUCUACGAUGGUAGACCUCUCAUUUGACACUCUUAAGCCUUCCUUGAAGACCUAUUCCUUGCAUGUCCCCCUGGCUCCAUUUUAUAAUCCCAAAGCCUUCUGUCUAUCCACUCCAAUAAAAGGAGACAAAGACCUUUUAA